AGUACUGAAGUAAUAAUUACAUUUAGUUUCGACCUAAAAAGAAGAGAACAAUUCUCCUUACUU
rnacentral:tRNA from 2 species